rnacentral:other from 1 species
CACGACCUGAGAUGCUCGCUGUUUUGAUAUGUCCAACCUACUUUAAUAUAUAGGGAAUCCGAUGUUAUGCGGCUGCCGGGCCUCCGGCGAGAGGAGGGCAAAAACAUGACUAGGAUGCCCACCUGCGAGAUGCGGGUUUGGACAUAAAAAAAGGGCGGCAUCGCGGGUUUUGC